GGGCGGGUGCUAUACAUGCAAGUCGAGCGGAUUGAUGGGAGCUUGCUCCCUGAUAUCAGCGGCGGACGGGUGAGUAACACGUGGGUAACCUGCCUGUAAGACUGGGAUAACUCCGGGAAACCGGGGCUAAUACCGGAUAACUCAUUUCCUCGCAUGAGGAAAUGUUGAAAGGUGGCUUUUACCUACCACUUACAGAUGGACCCGCGGCGCAUUACCUAGUUGGUGAGGUAACGGCUCACCAAGGCAACGAUGCGUAGCCAACCUGAAAGGGUGAUCGGCCACACUGGGACUGAAACACGGCCCAAACUCCUACGGGAGGCAGCAGUAGGGAAUCUUCCGCAAUGGACGAAAGUCUGACGGACCAACGCCGCGUGAGUGAUGAAGGUUUUCGGAUCGUAAAGCUCUGUUGUUAGGGAAAAACAAGUGCCGUUCGAAUAGGGGCGGCACCUUGACGGUACCUACCCAAAAAGCCACGGCUAACUACGUGCCAGCACCGCGGGUAAUACGUAGGUGGCAAGCGUGUCCCGAAAUUAUGGGGCGUAAAGCGCGCGCA
rnacentral:rRNA from 1 species